CAUGUGUCUGUGGCUAGCACUAAUUAGACCCCCAGGGUUCUUAAUAACAAAAACUAAAAAAUUAAAGGAAGAUAGGAGGCUAGGAAGAAGAUGGCAUGAGGGGCACUAGGGGGAGUUGGAAGGAUAUGAUUAAUAUAGACUGUAUACAUAUAUGGGAUUUUUCAGAUAAUAAAAAAUAGUGUUAAGACAUAAGGAAACCUGAAACCCAAAAGACAAGGAAUUGAAAUUUUCAAAUCAUUUGAAACAAAGCAGAAAAGACUUGGUGCCGUCCCUCUAAUCGUGCUGUUUAUUGUGGCCUUCCUGAGGGCUUCCUUAAGAGAGGGCAUGACAUCAUAGCUAUGACUAACCCAGUGGUACUGCCUGUGGGCUAUGGAUGACUUGGACUAAUCAGUGUGGAAGGAAAGGCUUUGGAGUUACCAGGUACCCGUGUGGCCUGCAAGACAAUCCUUGAGGUACCACUGUGGGGACAUGUGCCUGCCUUGUUUUCCUUUUUGUAUGUGUCCAUGGGCACAUGCGUGUAGAGACCAGAGGUAAAAAUCAUGGCCAUUUAACACAUGCAAUUCUUUUUAUGAGGCACGGUCUCUCCCUGGGACCUGGGGUUCACCAACUGAGCUCAGCAUCCUGGCCAGUGAGCACCAGAGAUCUGCCUGUGUGUGCUUUUUCCUAGUACGGGGUUAACAAACUCAUGGGUCAUGCAUCGUUCACUCAUGAUUGAUAUGAUCCAAAGAUCAAGCUAUGGGUAAGAAGUCAGUCACACAGAUGUGCCCAGCAGGAUCCGGGGGCUAAGAAAUGAUCACUUCAGUUCCUAGUGAAGAUGACCAUGGAGAUGAACGCCUGCUUUUGAAUUAUUUUUGAACUUUUGAAGCUUCUCUUGUUUUUUUUUUUCUUUUUCUUUUGAAAACAGUACAACAUCUACCCUGACUCAACUCAUGCAAUGUUCAGGGUGGAUACGUAGCACAUGGUGGAACAUUCCCGGUCAUCCGUGGAGACUUCGCUCAUCAACCAACCAACCCAUGUGUUCUUUCUGCUGGCUUGUGCAGAUGGUGGGGUGCCAGUCCAGAGCGCACGAGGUUGUCCUGUGACUACAGGAGGACCGUAUCUAACAGACGGAGAGACGGUUCAGACAGCACUGCCUGGCUUUAGGUCCAUCUGAAGCCACUGUUUUAGUCUUCAGUGCUGCUCUGUCCGUUAGAUGACUGAGCCACGUUGCCCUACUAACACACAGAGGAGGUGAUGGCAGCAGGGAGGAAAGCCAUCUGAAGCCACAUGUAGUGGGAGGUCUUCUGCCCUCAUAGCUGUUUGAUCUCAGAUUCUGUGAGACAAUGUGUGUAAAGCCCUGGACAAGAGACAAAGCUCAGGAUGGAGCAGCUGGGGAUGAUCGCAUUUUGGAUGAGCUGCUGAGAGGCGGGACGACAUUGCAGGUAAUGGCACAGCUUCUGGAGUGGGACCACCCGCGUUCUCCGCUCAUCUUCUUCCAUGGAAUCUUUAAGCAUCAGUGUCUUCUUCACCUGCAAAACCAGGAUGGCAGCAGUGCAAAGCUUCCAGCCACAAAGUUAUCCUAUCCUGGGAAUCAAACAAACUCAGAUCAUCGGGUUCAAGCGCAAGUGUCUUUAUCCACCAAGCCUUCUUGCUGGUCCUUUUCAAAAGUUUUUAUUGUAUCUAAUUUAUGCAUGGAUGUGGUGAUUUAAUACAUGCAAGAAAGCACACAGUGACACACUCAUAGCAAGCAGCUACAUACACGUGCUAUACGUGGAGAUUUUGUAGUUAGUGGUAUAUUUGGAGUCCUUAAAGCUUGAAACAGGGUUUUAAAAAUAUUCCCACUUUCUUAAUACAAUAGAGGUAUUUCCAGCAACUCACAUGGAAUCAAAAGCAACCAUUAUUUUUCCUUUAGCUUUAAAGCAAAGCAUAAAAAAACUUAAAAAGAAUAAAGUUGCAACUUAAAAGAGCCAUUAAAUUUCAUACUUUCACGGAACUUUUCUCUGACCGAACACAAAGACAUUAGACCCAGCCAUUUGUACUGUUUCAUUAAUUCCAGCAACACAUACAAACUCCGAGAGGUCACCAAAACCAGGAUUGAAGUACGCCAAGUUUCUCAUCUUCGUAUUUGCUCUGAGUGUUUACUUUCCAUCGACUAAAGCAACGCAGGAACAUGCACUAAGGCAGGAGUAUGCGCCCCCAGUUCCGAGCCUUUGCAAUCAUCGCGUUAAUGCACAGUUGGUAGCUGGGUCCUGUGGGACGGGCUCCCUGGCAGCUGGGGCCCUCCCGAGCUGCCUUGCAUGCUUCUUUUGUUAAACUCAACAGAUAACGAAGCUGUUAUUUAGAACUUAAACUAAGAGAGGAUCAUUUGCACAGAGGAGGACUCGCCAGCCCUGCUGAGAACGGCAGGGUCAAGGAACGAAACUACAAACUACUUCCGGUGCACUUGCCUGCCGGGUUAUUGAGUCAGUGAACAUGAAACCCUCUUCAAGACACCUCUCUUUCCAACCUCAAUUCCCCCUAUUUUGACAAUUUCCUCCGGCUGUGUAGGGAAUAGCUGGAUGUUUCUGGAAGCCAGUGAUCAAUGCUCUGUGUCCUGAUGAGAAUUUCACUGGUUUUGGGGACAGUUUUGCCCUCCUGGUAUCUGAUCUUUGAAGACUGUGUUAAGUAGAGGCAGAUUAUAGCGGGCUCAGAAGACUUCUGGACACAAAGAUUUGGAGAAUCGUCUUCUCCUUCUUCUUCUUUAUCGGUUUUGUUUUUAAGACAAGGUCUUAGCGUGUGCCGGACCACUACCCUGACUAAAAUUGUGGCUUUAAAGUGAUGCUUUCAUUGUCUGCUUGGCAGUUUUGCCAGUCUAUUUUCUUAUUUACAAAUCUUUAUGCAAAAAGAACAUUCUCCCCGACUCUCAACAUUUCUUCAUGUUCUGAAAUGAGAAACACAAACACUUGGUUCAGAGUAAAUUCUGGGUCUACGUAUGAUGAUAACAUAUUUUAGAAAAACACAAGGAUUAUUAAUGUAAUCAUUAAUUCAUCUCUAUUCAUUGAUCAACUUGUGAUUCUGUAUAGUGAUUUUAAAACUUUGUGAAAUUAAUUUGCCAGUUAAAGUUAACAAAUGUUCCUCUUUUCUUCGGGUGCCUGUCAUUUGAACAUUCCCAUUUAUUUCUAUUAAAAUAUUUAAAAGGAUUCUUUAAUUGCU
rnacentral:sRNA from 1 species